GGAUCACCUCCUUACCUGAAGAUACCUUCCGGCGCAGUGUCCACACAGAUUGUCUGAUAGAAGUAACGAGCAAAGUCACACCAGAGUCCCCAUCGUCUAGAGGCCCAGGACACUGCCCUUUCACGGCUGUAACAGGGGUUCGAAUCCCCUUGGGGACGCCAUACCGGUAACGAAGUGAAAGACGUUAUCAACCGUAUCUCAAAACUGAUUGUGCGAAAGCGAGUCACGUUUGAGAUAUUUGCUCUUUAACAAUCCGGAACAAGCUGAAAAUUGAAACGACAUGUCGUGUUCAUUCUCCGUAAUAAGAAUGAAGUUAACGACAUGUUCGAGUCUCUCAAUGCCUGCAACUGACAGACGUCUUUCGGGACGCUUGUGGGUUGUGAGGUUAAGCGACUAAGCGUACACGGUGGAUGCCCAGGCAGUCAGAGGCGAUGAAGGGCGUGCUAAUCUGCGAUAAGCGUCGGUAAGGUGAUAUGAACCGCAACAACCGACGAUACCCGAAUGGGGAAACCCAGUGCAAUCCGUUGCACUAUCAUGUCAUGAAUACAUAGUGGCAUGAGGCGAACCGGGGGAACUGAAACAUCUAAGUACCAAGGGC
rnacentral:misc_RNA from 1 species